GUGGGUGUUCGGGGGUGGGGGGGUUGCGUGCUGCUCUGCGUUGGCCCCGUGGGGCCGCUGCGGUGCUCAGGGCCUCUGCUCGGCGGCGGGAGAUGCCCUGUGCCCCCCCACCCAGGCCCCACGUCUACCCCUGGAGUCAUGCAGAAGGAUCUGGAUAUGUCCUGGAGGGAUUUGGGGGAGGCCAGGGAGCCCUGGACUCAUCCAGAAGAGUCUGGAGAUGUCCCAGAGGAGUCUUGGGGCAUUCAGGGAGUCCUCAUGUGGGUCUGGAGGGUUCUGGAUUCCUCAGACGGGUCUGGAGAUGCCCCGGAGGUGUUUUGGGGAGACCAGGGGGUCCUGGAGUCCUCCAGGAGUCUCAAAAACUGACAGUUCCCACCGAAAAAGCCCCCUAUGGCCACCAGGUGAUGUGGGGAAAACCGCAGGUGACACCGGGACAACUGCCUGCCCCCACAUUUGUCCCUGUCACCGUGGAACCUGGCGCCAUCCCAACCCUCAUCUAUGCUGAGAGCUCCGUCAGCAUCCUAAAGUUCCGGGAGCCGGGUGACGCCGUCUCCCUGACUCCCCCGGUGUCCCCAGCUGUUCUCCCUGCUGCGGUGGUGCAACUGGAGGGCUGUGACAUCCUCAUCAAAGAGGCCUGCCUCCAGCCGGACCUGGUAACACUGGAGCUCUCUGGCGCUGUCACCAUUAUGUGCCACAAGGAUGGGGACGUGGUGGUGUACUCUGCUGCCACCAGAGGGGACCGUGUGUGACAUCAGCGUGGAACAGCUGUCAUCGCUGCUGGGUGUUGCUUUUGUCAACAUGCAUGGGGUGUCACUGCUGGGGACACCUCUGUGUCACCCCUUCCAUGUCACACCCCAAAGUUGGAGGCACCCCUCUGCAGAUCCCCCGGUGUCCGUCCUUCUGACCGCAUUGUUCCCAUGCGGGGGUGGGUGGAGUUGAGGGGGGCACACACUUUAUUUUUGUAAAUAAGAUUUAUUUUGUGAUAAGGUGGACUGGGAGACGCCGCCCCCCCAGACCUCUGCAUGAAUAAAAGGCAGAGGAGCGGCUGUGGGGCUCUGCAUGUCACACCGGGGGGCACUCUGGGGACAGGUGACUGCAGCAUCCCAGCCCCAUAGCCCCUAUGACCCCAUCACCACUACAGUCCCAUCUCAUUGCCAUCCCAUAACCCGUAUCCAUAUGCUACAACCUUAUCCCAUCCCAUAUCCCAUCGUGUAUUCAUAGCCCAUCCUAUAUCCAUACCCUCAUAUCCAUCCCAUAACCAUAUUCCAAAUCCAUCCCAUGUCUGUAUCCUCAUAUCUCAUCCUCUAUCCAUAUCCCAUCCCAUAUCCCAUCCCCAGUCCAUCCCAUCCCUUAUCCAUACUCCCAAGUCCCACAUCCUAUCCCCAUCUCAUUCCCCACGUCCUAUAUCCGUAUCAUCCCACAUCCAUCCCAAACUCAUGUCCGCACAUCCCAUCCCAAAUUCAUCUCGUGUCCACAUCCCAUAUCCUUAUCCAUAUCCCAUGCCCAUAUAUAUCUCAUUUUGCCAUAUCCCAUCCCGUAUCCAAAUCCCCACACGCUCUCCAUGCAUUCUUCCCCCUCUCCCAGGUGGAGCUCAUUACAUUCCAGCUGCUCUCUCACAUAAAGGGCAGCUCCUCCACCUCGCUUCCCCAGCCUGUCUUUCCUAGAAGCACACAGCCC
rnacentral:lncRNA from 1 species